CCUACGGGGGGCUGCAGUCGAGAAUCUUCCACAAUGGACGAAAGUCUGAUGGAGCGACGCCGCGUGCUGGAUGAAGCCUUUCGGGGUGUAAACAGCUUUUAUGAGGGAAGAAGUUUAUUGACGGUACCUUAUGAAUAAGGGGUUGCCAAACUCGUGCCAGCAGCAGCGGUAAUACGAGUACCCCGAGCGUUAUCCGGAAUUAUUGGGCGUAAAGGGUGCGUAGGUGGUUGUGUUAGUCUGGCGUCAAAGCCCCGGGCCUAACCUGGGAUCUGCGUUGGAAACGGCACGACUAGAGAAUGUGAGAGGUGUACGGAACUCAUGGUGUAGGGGUGAAAUCCGUUGAUAUCAUGGGGAACACCAAAUGCGAAGGCAGUACACUGGCACAUUUCUGACACUCAAGCACGAAAGCGUAGGUAGCGAAUGGGAUUAGAUACCCUAGUAGUC
rnacentral:rRNA from 1 species